AGUGAACGCUGGCGGUAGGCCUAACACAUGCAAGUCGAACGGCAGCACAGUAAGAGCUUGCUCUUACGGGUGGCGAGUGGCGGACGGGUGAGGAAUACAUCGGAAUCUACUUUUUCGUGGGGGAUAACGUAGGGAAACUUACGCUAAUACCGCAUACGACCUACGGGUGAAAGUAGGGGAUCUUCGGACCUUGCGCGAUUGAAUGAGCCGAUGUCGGAUUAGCUAGUUGGCGGGGUAAAGGCCCACCGAGGCGACGAUCCGUAGCUGGUCUGAGAGGAUGAUCAGCCACACUGGAACUGAGACACGGUCCAGACUCCUACGGGAGGCAGCAGUGGGGAAUAUUGGACAAUGGGCGCAAGCCUGAUCCAGCCAUACCGCGUGGGUGAAGAAGGCCUUCGGGUUGUAAAGCCCUUUUGUUGGGAAAGAAAAGCAGCAGGUUAAUACCCCGCUGUUCUGACGGUACCCAAAGAAUAAGCACCGGCUAACUUCGUG
rnacentral:rRNA from 1 species